rnacentral:rRNA from 1 species
UACAGAGGGGGCAAGCGUUAUUCGGAAUUAUUGGGCGUAAAGGGCGCGUAGGCGGCCUGGCAAGUGGAAGGUGAAAUCCCUCGGCUUAACCGAGGAACUGCCUCCCAAACUGCUUGGCUCGAGACCGGGAGAGGUGAGUGGAAUUCCCAGUGUAGCGGUGAAAUGCGCAGAUAUCGGGAGGAACACCGGUGGCGAAGGCGGGUCUCUGGGCCGGUACUGACGCUAAGGAGCGAAAGCGUGGGGAGCGAACAGG